rnacentral:rRNA from 1 species
CACGUAGUUAGCCGUGACUUUCUAAGUAAUUACCGUCAAAUAAAGGCCAGUUACUACCUCUAUCUUUCUUCACUACCAACAGAGCUUUACGAGCCGAAACCCUUCUUCACUCACGCGGCGUUGCUCCAUCAGACUUUUCGUCCAUUGUGGAAGAUUCCCUACUGCUGCCUCCCGUAGGAGUUUGGGCCGUGUCUCAGUCCCAAUGUGGCCGAUCAGUCUCUCAACUCGGCUAUGCAUCAUUGCCUUGGUAAGCCGUUACCUUACCAACUAGCUAAUGCACCGCAGGUCCAUCCAAGAGUGAUAGCAGAACCAUCUUUCAAACUCUAGACAUGCGUCUAGUGUUGUUAUCCGGUAUUAGCAUCUGUUUCCAGGUGUUAUCCCAGUCUCUUGGGCAGGUUACCCAGUGUUACUCACCCGUCCGCCGCUCGCUUGUAUCUAGUUUCAUUUAGUGCAAGCACUAAAAUCAUCAGGCAAGCUCGCUCGA